AUUGAACGCUGGCGGCAUGCCUUACACAUGCAAGUCGAACGGUAACGCGGGGCAACCUGGCGACGAGUGGCGAACGGGUGAGUAACACAUCGGAACGUGCCCAGUAGUGGGGGAUAGCCCGGCGAAAGCCGGAUUAAUACCGCAUACGACCUAAGGGUGAAAGCAGGGGAUCGCAAGACCUUGCGCUAUUGGAGCGGCCGAUGUCAGAUUAGGUAGUUGGUGGGGUAAAAGCCUACCAAGCCGACGAUCUGUAGCUGGUCUGAGAGGACGACCAGCCACACUGGGACUGAGACACGGCCCAGACUCCUACGGGAGGCAGCAGUGGGGAAUUUUGGACAAUGGGCGCAAGCCUGAUCCAGCCAUGCCGCGUGCGGGAAGAAGGCCUUCGGGUUGUAACGCUUUGUCAGGG
rnacentral:rRNA from 1 species